ACAUGAUGCCACAGCAUCAGCAACCGUGAGGAAGAUUUUGUCCUCUCCAAUCAACUGUGCAGAACCAGAGGCAUGGAGCUUAUCAAUCACCGCCGGUCCAGGAUUUGCUAGGAUAAGCUGUGCAACAACACAAGGAACAUCCGGUAAGGCUACUUUUCUAACACCGAAGCACAUAUUAUUAUCGUACUACAUGUGUUUGUGUGUUAGCACUAGAGGCGUGUAUGAUACUGCAAUGUAGCUGUAGUUAAUUUACAAGCUUAGAUUUCAGAACAUAUCAGGUGGCAGUACUGUUAACGUGCAAGAGUUAAUCACCUGAAUCUCUCUUUUCUGGAGACUUCUGAGUAACUCUUCCAUCGCAUGGAUGCCACUGGUGUCAAUGUCAGUAACGGCUGACACCAAAUCCAAAAGCAUCAUAAAUGAGUUUUGAAAUUAAAUAAUAGCAAGUCAGCUCGUAGAUAGCAAUGAAGAUUCAGCAGAGAACAGCUUACGUGACAACUCCACAAUUAAAAACUGGAUUUUGGUCUGGCCUGAUUUGUUUACUAGCUCUUCCUCGUCAAUCAACCAUCUCAAUAUCCUGCAAGAAAAUCUCAUCUUUAGCCUCAGUAAAGCUGCUGCUGGAAAUCUCAACUUCUUGCGAAACUCUAAAUAAUAAAAUCAUAUAUAGCUAUGUCUUAAGCUCCUUUUACUUAUGAACGCUGCAACCAUAGCGUUUCAAACACACGAAUUCCACAAGUAUAAGCUUCAAAUGCCUCCCCCAAGCCAACAAAACAACCUGACCAGAUUAUAAAUUACUGAAUUUAUCUAUCAUAGUCACUCGUACAAAUUGUUUGACUUUCUAAUUGCCUAUCAUCUACAGUUCAACUCUAUUCAGGUAGCUUCCUAAUCAAAACAAGUCUUCCAAAUACUAGGGUUGUGUUCUUCCAUUAUAGCUAUAGCCAAAACCUCAAAGUAAAAGGUCCUUAGUUAGAAGCGUGGGACAGGAAAAAAUAACUGCCUGCGGUUCCAUUUCAAUUCAUAGAUGGUCUUUCUCUACCGAAUAGCUAAAAGGCCAAAAAAACAUCUUUACCUUUCUUUGAUGUAAUUGGAGUUAGAAAAGUAGAUCGCAGAAUCGACUCUCACUAUCAAAACACCAGGGACCUUAGCUGCUUCAGGAUAUUGUAGAAUGUUUCUGUAUACGGUUGUCCUUGGUAGAUUUCCAAGAAUUGCGGUCCGGGGCCUGGUAACUUGUAAGAGAAUCUUGGCAAAGGAUAUCGAAACCUUCCAUGACACAAUGAAAACAUAAUUUAAUCAAUCCUGGCAAUCAUAUAUAGUAAUACAGGGAUUUUAGCUGGCGGGUAUCAUAAUUCUUACUGCAAUCAAGAGGCCAAUCUCAACAGAAACAAAAACUACACCAAAGAAUGCUCCCAUGCAAGCAACAAAAUCAAAUUUGUCAAUCUUCCAUAUCAAAUAUGCUGCAUCAAAAUCAAUCAGGCCGAUCACCGCUGAUAUAAUUAUGGCUGCGAGUAUAGCAUUUGGGGUAUACUUGAAAAGAGGUGUCAAAAAUUUUAACGUCAAAAAUACGACAAACGCCAUAACAAUGUUUGAGACUGCAGUUUGGCAGCCAGCCAUGUAGUUCACAGCUGAUCGAGAAAAUGAACCUGCAAGUAAUGAACAUGAGAAAAAAAUAUAGUGAAUUCAAAGGAUUUGCACAAUCAAAUGAACCUCCUCAUAUUAGCCCGAAGGAGUUUCCCAUGCCAAACUCAACCCAAAAGGUAGAUCAAAACAUCUAGUACUCAAACAUUUGUUUGGGAACCAUUAUAUGCAAGUAUUCUAACUUAGGCGUCACAGAUUGUAAGUAGCUGUAUGAUUGAAAAGUUCACAUCUACUUUUCCUUUUAAUUGAUUGGAUUUUAUGGCUGCUCAGAAAAAUGAAGUUUCUAUAGUCGAGUCUAGAUCAUAUAUGAUUACGCAUUCACAAUAGGUGACACACUUCGUUGUCAUUAUUAAAAUGUAAGGUGCCAUAAUUUAUAUGGGCAUCCUUCUCACCUGUUGCCACAUAGCAAGAAGUCAUUGAACCAACAAUGUUCAUAGUUCCUAGUGCCACCAUUUCUUUGUUUCCAUCCAGCUGAUAGUCUUUCAUCGCGGCGAAUGUUCUUCCAAUUGCUAUGGCUUCCUGAAAAUCCCAUUCCAAGAUAAAGGGAAUACAAAGUCUGUUAGAUGAUUGAUGAUCAAAUUCUCUUAAUAUAAUGUGCAAAUUGACAAUAGCUUGCAAAGUUAUCUCACCGUCAAAGCAACCAUCCCAGCCACAAUACCAAUCCUAACACCUUUUAUCAAAUAGCCACCAUUGAAAAAUAUUUGAUCCACAGAGGAGGGAUUUAUUCCUUGGUCUAUGUGUUUCACCUUCAAAAAUCACAGAAUAAUUAAUAGUGAUACCAUAGCCAUUGCAGCUAUCACUACUUCUGAUGUCCCAACCAUAAUUGUAAUCACAGAAUCAUGCACGUUAUAAUUGAAGGAAAAAACGAGAAUUUCUUACAAUUUGAACUCCUUGCUUAUCCGCACGGGUUAUAUACACAAAAAAUGUUGACAGAAUAACAGAUAUCAACGGACCAAUUGCUGGCACCCAGAAGAAUUUCUUGUUCUUCUUUCCCUAUUGCUCAAAUGAUGGUGAGAAUUAGAAAAGUUUUGCAAUAAGGUAACAGUUUACAUAAGAAUUAGUAUAAUUAGACUUUGAUCAGACUUACAAUGUACUUGGCAACAAGAAGGAAAGAUAAAAAGCUCACUCCAAUAACAAUAGUUUGCCAGUUCCACUGCGAAAUAUUUGUUGUACACAAAUCAGUGACCACAGAUAUGAGAAUUUAUUUAACUAGGGAUUCUCAAUUUAACUAGAUAGUAGUUCACAUUUUAAAGGUAAGAAAAAGGCGACACUACAAGUCAGAGAGCAAGGGGGAGAGAACUUACUCCAUGAUGAGCUGAGGCAAAUACUGAGUGCAUUACAGAAACAAUAUCAGUUUUCUUUGUAAAUUUUUUUAUCCCAAGAAAACCCUUAAGCUGUUGGAGGGCAAUUGUGAUGGCAGCUCCACCCAUGAAACCGACAAUAGCAGCAUGUGACAGAAAGUCAAUUAGAAACCCCAACCUGAUAAAUUGUUCCCAACCAGUAUGAUGUUAACAGAAAGAUAUAGAUAGAGAGACACUAAAAUAAACUGCAAUAUGAAAGAAAGCUGAAAGUUUAAUCUCCUUUGGAAACAUUAACCUGAAAAACCCAAGGGUUACUUGAGUGAUGCCAGCAAAAAAUGUGGCUGUGAAUGCCAGCCUCCGAUAUUCUGCUGCAUUGCCUACAGGAUCAUUAAUUUCAUUCUGAAGCAGAGUCCCCAACAAGAGAGACACCACAGCCACUGGUCCUAUUGCUAUGUCUCUUGAACUACCCAUGAAGGCAUAUAUCAAAGGUGGAACGAAGCUGGAGUCUGAAAAACGUUUUAAAACAAAAACAAAAGAAACACACCAUCAGACUCAAGAAAGAGGAAAAGUAAUGCAAGAUGCACGCAAAUAAGGCGAACUUACACAAUCCAUACUGAGGAUCCAAAUUUGCAAGCUUUGCAUACCCGAUAUCCUGAAUUUUUCCAAAAAUGUAGACUAUUAGAAAUAGUGCAAAGAGGGGACUACACAAUAUUGCUGCUUCUUACCUAUCUUUUAAGCAGAUAAUCUACCUGGGGAAUGCAAAGACUAGCAAUGGUCAGCCCAGCAAUGAGGUCACCUCUAAAUUUUGCAAGAUUGUAACUUCUUCCCCAUUCAAAAAUAGGGAAUAUAGCUUGGAGACCCAAGAUGAACAUUUUAGACCUCGGUUGAUCCUUAAAGGGACGUAGAGGAUCAUCUGCAAAGAAUGUCUCUUUCACAGUGGCUUUGAACUCACUGAAGAGUUUUUGCUUAGGAGGAAGUCCAACCUUGUGAACAUAAGGUGCAUCUUGAGGAUGACGGUGAGAGGAUGACAGGCUUCGAAUAUCCAUAACUUUUUUUUCAAGGUCCUCUUCAGUUGAAUGAACCACUGAAGAUGUAGACAACUAAUUUACCUGUAAUGCAGGACAGUUUACAAGAUGAUCAUUACCAGAAAGAAGGCAAUGAUGAUCAUAUCUGUGCACAAAGAAUAUGAGGCAGAUGCUUGAAAUACUGAAUCAAACCAAGG
rnacentral:lncRNA from 1 species